CUAGCCCAGGCUGCUCACAGCUCCAUCCAGCUUGGCCUUGGACACUUCCAGGGAUCCAGGGGCAGCCACAGCUUCAAUGAUGCAACACCUGAAGAUACUUCCAUUACAUGAAGUCUUUUCUCUCCAGACUUCAGCACUCUGAGAAAAACCCUUAUGGAGACAAAUCUGUGCUGCCCACAUAUGGCUCCUAGAGCACUCAGAAAUGCUCUUUCCCUGUGGCUGCAGCAAUAAAUGUUAUUAUAUAGAAA